CAUUUAUUUCUUUCUGGAUUUGACGGAGAGUGCUCAGCCUUCUUGCUACCAAGAUGGCGUUGACCCUGUGUUGGGCAUUGGCAGUGAGAGCAAUACAGGAAGAGACAUAUGUGGAUUUGAAGGUGCUGGUGGGCUGCACCCAUGGCAUAUAGCUAGG